rnacentral:rRNA from 1 species
UUCUUCGAAAAAAAUAUUUAAAAAAAUUAAUUAACUAAAAGGAACUCGGCAAAUUUAGUUGCUUCGCCUGUUUAUCAAAAACAUGGCUCUCUGCUUAUAUAUAUAGAGAGUCGAGCCUGCCCAGUGAAUUUUUCAACGGCCGCGGUACUCUGACCGUGCAAAGGUAGCAUAAUCAUUUGCCUUAUAAUUGAAGGCUAGUAUGAAUGGUUUGACGAGAGCAACGCUGUCUCUUUUUUAUUUUCAAGAACUUAACUUUUAGGUGAAGAGGCCUAAAUUUUAUUGAAGGACAAGAAGACCCUGUCGAGCUUAAAAGAUAUUAUAGAAGCUUAUAUAUUUUUAAAUAAAUUUUUCUAUUAAGCUUUUUAGUUGGGGCGACUAAGGAACAAAAAAAGCUUCUUGUUAAUAUUAAACAGUCACGUUUAGAUCCGGUAAUAAUCGAUUAAAGAAAUUAGUUACCGCAGGGAUAACAGCAUAAUCUCUCUUGAGAGACCUAAUCGAAAGAGGGGGUUGUGACCUCGAUGUUGGACUAGAAUAUCCUAAAGAUG